ACAUGCUGAAUUGCAGACCAACCUCUGCUGUGCAAGAAGCCAAGAACAUGUCCAACUGCCUCUACCUCCGGGUGUGGUUUGUUCAGACUUCAGAGGCAGACGAAUAGCUGAGAUUGCUCGGCCACGUGCCCCCAGCUCCGAAGAAGUCCAACCUUCCAUCCUCCCCCUUCCCUGCAACCACAGGCCUCGAUAAAUUCCGGCAACAAAAAUGGCAGCGCCCGCACCAGUCUACGACCACCGCAAGUCCACGGCUCCACACCGGAGAACGCACGGCCUCCCCAUCCGCAGGGCAGGGCCAGGAUGGAGGCCGGAGAAGCAGCAGGCGCCCUGCUCUUCGUCGUCGCCGUCGCGGCCGCCGUAGCAGCCGCCGUCGCCACCGGCGCUGUCAACUUCACCUAUCCGGCCACAGUCGGCUCCUCCGCCGAGCCGUCACCCUCCUCCUCCGGUGGUGGCGGGCAGUGGGGCGCGUGGCUCGAGGUUUGGGCGUGGGUGCGGUCCGGCGCGGUGGCGCCGGCGCUGCAGGCGGCGGUGUGGGCGUGCAUGUUGAUGUCGGUGAUGCUGGUGGUGGAGGCCACCUACAACUGCGCCGUCAGCAUUGGAGUCAAGCUCCUGGGAUGGAAGCCCGAGCACCGGUUCUAGUGGGAGCCCCUCGCCGGCGACGGCGACGAGGAGAAGGGGGAUGCUGCUGCUGCUUACCCCAUGGUCAUGGUCCAGAUACCCAUGUACAAUGAGCUCGAGGUGUACAAGCUGUCGAUUGGAGCAGCGUGCGAGCUCAACUGGCCAAAAGAGAGGUUGAUUGUUCAAGUGCUAGAUGAUUCCACGGAUCCCUCCAUCAAGAAUUUGGUUGAGAAGGAAUGUGAGAGUUGGGCAAGCAAAGGAGUAAACGUCAAGUACGCCACCAGGGUUGGCCACAAAGGGUUCAAAGCAGGAGCCUUGAAGAAGGGAAUGGAGUGGGACUAUGCCAAGCAAUGCGAAUAUAUUGCCUUAUUUGAUGCUGAUUACCAGCCAGAACCAGAUUUUCUCCUCAGAACUGUCCCAUUCCUCAUGCACAAUUCGAAUGUUGCCCUAGUUCAAGCUCGGUGGGUUUUCGUGAAUGACAGAGCAAGCCUUUUGACAAGGAUACAGAAGACGUUCAUGGAUUACCACUUCAAAGUUGAGCAGGAAGCAGGAUCAGCAACAUUUGCCUUCUUUAGUUUCAAUGGAACUGCUGGUGUGUGGCGUAGGCAAGCUAUCGAUGACGCAGGAGGUUGGAAGGACCGGACUACGGUUGAAGACAUGGACUUGGCUGUCCGAGCGACCUUAAAGGGUUGGAAAUUUGUAUAUGUAGGGAAUGUUAGAGUAAAGAGUGAGCUUCCAUCCACUUACCAAGCAUACUGCCGGCAGCAGUUCUGGUGGGCCUGUGGCAGCGCAAACUUGUUCCGGAAGAUGACAUGGGAGGUCCUGGUCACCAAGCAAGUGUCGCCCUUGAAGAAGUUCUACAUGAUUUAUAGCUUCUUCCUGGUGCGGAGAGUCAUCGCCCCCACUGUCGCCUUUCUUCUCUACAACAUUAUCAUCCCUGUGUCUGUCUUGAUCCCAGAAGUCUUCCUACCAGUCUGGGGUGUCGCCUACAUUCCUACAGCACUCACCGUCGUCACCGCCAUAAGAAAUCCAGAAAAUCUGCAUAUCAUGCCUUUGUGGAUUUUAUUCGAGAGCGUCAUGUCCAUGCAUCGCAUAAAAGCUGCAGUAGCCGGCCUGCUCGAACUCCCAGAAUUUAACCAAUGGAUUGUGACACAGAAAGUAGGGAAUAAUGGUGCUGACCAGAAUUGUGAGGUUCCGUUACUUCAGAAAGCCAGAAAAGGGUUAAGAAACAGAGUCAACGUCCCUGAAAUUGGAUUCUCACUGUUCCUGUUCACCUGUGCUUCCUACAACCUUGUCUUCCCUGGAGAGACCAGCUACUUCAUAAAUCUCUAUCUGCAAGGAUUAGCCUUUUUUCUUUUGGGGCUCAACUUCAUUGGCACUUCUUGUUGCUGCUUAUAAGCAAUCAAUUUAAUCGCUUCUCUGUUUUUUUCUUUCUGCUCCGUGUGAUCUGUUAUUCAAAUUUAUUCAGGGAACACUUGAGGUGUUGUCAGGUUGCCUCAGGAAUGGUGCUGAUUUGUGCUCUGUACAGUCACAGCAAUAUAUGUACACAAUAGCACACUCAAAUUAAUAAAGACUACACUUGACUACA